GGCCAGACUCCUACGGGAGGCAGCAGUGGGGAAUAUUGCACAAUGGGGGAAACCCUGAUGCAGCGACGCCGCGUGAGUGAAGAAGUAUUUCGGUAUGUAAAGCUCUACCAGCAGGGAAGAAAAUGACGGUACCUGACUAAGAAGCCCCGGCUAACUACGUGCCAGCAGCCGCGGUAAUACGUAGGGGGCAAGCGUUAUCCGGAUUUACUGGGUGUAAAGGGAGCGUAGACGGCAUGGCAAGUCAGAUGUGAAAGCCCGGGGCUCAACCCCGGGACUGCAUUUGAAACUGUCAGGCUGGAGUGCAGGAGAGGUAAGUGGAAUUCCUAGUGUAGCGGUGAAAUGCGUAGAUAUUAGGAGGAACACCAGUGGCGAAGGCGGCUUACUGGACUGUAACUGACGUUGAGGCCCGAAAGCGUGGGGAGCAAACAGGAUUAGAUACCCUAGUA
rnacentral:rRNA from 1 species